GAGUGAGGUGUGCAAAGCUAUAAUAAUAAUAUAAACCUGUAAUCUUCAGCCUCUUGUUUUGUUGUUUUUUUUUUGAAACUCUUAUGAACAGACUCACCCGUUUAUUUUUAUAUUCAUUUAUUUAUAGGAUUUAAGGGCCUGUGAUGGACUGGUAACCUGUUCUGGGUAUGCCCUACCGCUUGCCAAAUGACAGGUGAAAUAGGCUGCUGCAACCCUAGAUAAAGAGGUAAAGGAUGAGUGACUGAGGAAUUAAGGAAAUCGGAACCUCCUUACUUACGCUUAAAUUGCUCUUUUGCAUCUUUGGAAAGGCAUAAGUAUAUAACAAAUAUUGUAAAAAACAAUAAAUGGAACCCAAUGUUAAAUUUUAAAUGUUUUUUUCUUUUUUUUUUUUUUUAGUAAGGUGUAUGAUAUAUCAAGUGCUAAUAUAUAACUAAUAGAAAUGUAGUAUAAAUGUAGUAAAUGUAUUGUUUUUUUCAGUACUAUGUAUGUAUCUC
rnacentral:lncRNA from 1 species